GACGAACGCUGGCGGCGUGGAUUAGGCAUGCAAGUCGAACGGUAUCAUCCUUUCGGGGGUGAGAGAGUGGCGAACUGGUGAGUAACACGUAGGUUAUCUACCCUCAAGACGGGGACAACCCAGGGAAACUUGGGCUAAUACCGGAUGUGAGCAACUUUUAGUUGUUUGAAAGGUGGCGUAAGCUGUCGCUUGGGGAUGAGCCUGCGUCCUAUUAGUUAGUUGGUGAGGUAACGGCUCACCUAGGCAAUGAUAGGUAGGCGGCCUUAACGGGUGGUCGCCCACACUGGGAUUGAGAUACGGCCCAGACUCCUACGGGAGGCAGCAGUCGAGAAUAGUCUACAAUGGUCGGAAGACUGAUAGUGCGACGCCGCGUGAACGAUGAAUCCCUUCGGGGUGUAAAGUUCUUUUAUAUGUGAGCAGUGCUUCUUAUAUUAACAGUAUGGGGAGAGAGAUAUUAGCAUAUGAAUAAGCAACGGCUAACUCCGUGCCAGCAGCCACGGUAAACUCG
rnacentral:rRNA from 1 species